GUGUUUUACCUCAUGUAUGUUGUUCUUAAGAAACAAAAAUAACCAUUAAAUCUUUAAAUAAAGCCAACAUAUAUAUGUUUAUUCUAUACCUUUCCUUAAAAUAUUAAGUUAAAUAAAUACUGUAUUUGGAAUAUAUUUACCAUCAGAAACUAAAUUCAAUAGAGCUGUGACUACUAGUAAUCUGUUUCUGUGAUCAAUUGCUUAAGCAAGUAUACUACCAAACAUUAUUUUAUAUUGAAGGUUUUAUUUUCCAAUAUUUAUACUUUCAUAAAUAGGUCUUUAUUUAAUCAUCAGCACUUCUCUUAAUGAUUUUAAAGCAGUAGACAAAUUCAGAAACCAAAUAAAUUCACUUAAUGUCCUUGGUUUGGGCUUUGAAAAAUAUUAUUCUCCUCUUUCUAGUAUACAGAGGUCACCUUCCUAGUUGGUGGACACAUGUUGACCUUUGGUUCUAUUGGACAGGAAUGAAAACUACACUUGUGGCUGAGUCUUGCCGAAGAUCUGUGGUGUCAUAAAGAAGCAGACAGUAAUGGACCAGCAUAACUAGGUGUUUGAUUUGUUUAGGACAUUCACAUCCAAAUGGCAUGAACACUAUAACAUCAAAAACAAUAUUGCAUGUUUCUUAAGAGAGCAGCACAAAGUAUAAAUAAUUUAAAGAGCAAAGUAAAGAGAUAGAUAAUAGGGAAAGGGGAAAUAGAAAUAGACAAAGAGAUGGAGGAGGCAGGAGGGAGGCGAGGAAAGGGGAAGAAGAAAGAAUUAAGAUGUGUGAUGUACAUGCACCAACUGCCCAUGAUGAGUGUAAUUAUUAUGUACUGCAAACAUGUACUAACAACACUUACUUAAAAAGAGAUAUGGGCUAAGUCUUUUGAAGUUUGAGUAAUAGACAAAGUGAGUCAAGGGUUCUACAAAUUUUAUUCAUAAAAAUAUUUUUUGGUUGUGAUUUCUAAGUAAGUAGCAAUGUUUGCUUUUAAAAACAGUCUCAGUUGUUUAUUCAGUUGAUCUUUUUCAUUUAAAAAAUUUGUUUCCAAGGCAAGGGCCUUUGUUGUUAUACAUUCUUUCAAAGCAUUAAAGUACUCGAAGAAAACGAAAGCUGGGAGCAUAUUGCUAACAUCAAAAGAGCAUCCGAGGAAUGCAGAAUUCCCGCUUUUGAGAAAGUGAUUUGGGCCCGACAUACAGGUCGAAAAAUCAAGAAAUGUUGCCAAAUAACAGACAACUCAUCUGCAAACACAAGAGUGCAUACUGGAAAUUGCUUGUAAAAUGAAAGCCAGCUGGCAUCACUAUAAAAAAGUCUUAGGAAAAAAGCCUCUUCAUCUAAUUCAUAAAUGGGAAAUUAAAUCUCCAGGCUUAACUGGCUCAGUUUUAUCUUUUUUUGUUUGUUUGAACUAUGCUUUGUUGGUUGAAUAACUGUGACAACAUUGAGACAGUUUGUGAGUAAAGCCAGGGGUGAUCUUUUAUAAAUAGUGUUAUAACUACUUCUCAAGAAAAGCCUUAGAUAAUACCAUGCCUGAACCCUUUGUGGAUGGUGCAGCCUCAGGCCAGUACAGUUGAUAAGCAGCAGAGGAAAUCUUCUGCCUAACUUAUGAGAUAUGUGUGUGCCUUCUGUGAAUAUAUAAUUAUAUGAUUAUAUAUACAGUAUACACACAAUCAGCAUUUAUUCCCAUACUCUUUUAUACUCUCUUCAGUACCAUAAGGGAGAAUCCUUUACUUUCACUGGUAUAAUUUAUGUAGCCUAUAAAAUGUAUACAUGUAAGAUUCCAAAGGCAGAACAGAAACUCAGUGAAUCUAUAUAUUAAAAAAUAAGAAUUUCUUUGGAAUAUAAAUAAUAUUUUCCCUGAUUUAUUGAUUUGGUAAGUCUAGAAUUGUAAAGAGAGUGCCCUGUUUGUUUAGUGUUUGGUGCAAUGAUUGAAUCUUUCAUUGAACAAAAAAGUGAAUGAAUCUUUUCUUCCUCCCUUUUGGGUUUACUUCUUAUAUGACACUGAGAGACUGAGCACAGUAUUUUGAGAUAGAUGACAAGGCAGUCACCUUUGAGUGGUACAGAUUUAGUAGCAACGGUAGAGUGUCUUAUUACAAUAUCUUUAGAGUAUGCCAUCCAAAAGUUCUCCCUCUGUGCCCUUAUGAUGAAAUCAAGAGAAUCAGGACUGAAGAUGCUGAUGGGGAGGGGAGGCAAGUGUGAGGAGGACAGCUUGUUUUCAUUUGAUCAAACAGCACUAGACUUGCAAAAAAGCAGUUGUAUUACUGAACAAUGUGAUGAUUCUCCCCAUGAAUCAUCCAAUAACCUCCAAGAAGCAUUCAAUCUGUCAAACUCUCAACAAGAUCUAGCUUUUGAUAAACAUAUUUACUUUAAUAGCAGUUCCUGAGAUGAAAGGUUCAGAUUUAUGGCUCCUAAUCUCUAUAACCUGAAAAUAUGAAAUAACUUCCCAGGAAGCUGCCUUGAAAAACUAUUCAAUUAAGCAAGAAUUACACUAGAAUCUUCUUUUUGGUUAAGACAUAUAAUGUUACUCAUUGAUUAAUCUCUUAUUCCUAAAAAUGAUGUAAAGAGGCUGGCUAUAUUAUACAUUGAAAAAUUCUGCCUGUUGGCCUAAUAUAAAAUGAGGAACUGUCCAAGAUGAACCCUAAGAUAUCUUCCAAAUCACAUCUUUUAUGAUACAAUUUCUGGGAGUCUGCCUCUCAAUAUUUUAUAACCAGGGGCCACACUAAGAUGAAACCUUAAUAAGAUUCCUCAUGUGGGGUAUAGAUAGAUCUUGGUUCAUCUUAGACUCUACCUGGUAUUUGCACUGUAGUGUUUCUGAAGUGUGCACAUAUCCACAGAGUGAUGUAAAUUUAAUUCCCUGGCAAAUUAGAUGACAAAGAUUUGUUUUCUGUUCUUGUGAUUAACUGGAUGAAUUUGGCAAAAGGUUAUCACUCAGUGGCAUAAAUUUAGUUAUGGGGAUGUUUAACUACAAUUUCUAUAUUAUAUGAAUUCUAAAAUUAGAUUUGAUGGGAAGGGAAGAUGGUUAAAAGGAUAGUAUAAUUUUCAAAUAGUAAAACCAGCAUUUGACCUGUGAGAAGGCAAUUCUAGUCUUAUUGAACAAUAUAGACUUUCUUCCCUGACUGACAGAUAUCCUUUUAAAGGCAAAGGUUCUCAAUUUUUUGAGAACUUUUAAUUAAUUAAGAUUAUUGGUACAUUUUAGGUUUACAUAAUGAUCACAUUGAUCACAGGGAGUUUGUACCUGUACAUGAUAUAUCUUGCUUCUUAUUUUUUCCCAUUCCCCUUCCUUCCCUUCAUCCUCUCCAUCCCUCCUUAUUUGCAAAAGCUUUGUUUCCAUUUUUCCUUCUUUUUUCAUUUUUUUCUUUCCUUUCCUUUCUUUCCCCAGGCCUCUCCCUAGUUCCCCUUCUCCUUUGAACAUUUUCAUCCUAUUUCACAAUAUCUAUUAUACAUUUUGG
ensembl:lncRNA